UGUGUGAAUGGCUGUUUGGCGAACUUUGGGUGAGUGACUCGUGAGCUUCUGAUUUUGAGCUUUUUUGUGAUUUUCAAUCUUCUGCUUGAAAAGGCGAAUCUGCGCCUCCUUUUAUAUGCUUAAAUCAAGGGUAGCUUUAGUUUUACAUUUGGUGAAUGUUGUUGGUAUGUGAACAAAGUUUUGCAUAAUUUUGAUUCUUGUUUUUGAUGUUGGCAGCAACCCUUAUACUAAUAUAUCUGCUUUCUUUUAUUUGCGUGUGAGUGGCUGUCUGGCGAACUUUGGGUGGGUGACUCAGUGAGCUUCAGAUUUUGAGCUGUUUUGUGAUGUUCAAUUUUCUGCUUGAAAAAAGGUGAAUCUUAGCCUCCUUUUAUUUGGCAAUGUUUGCCAUUGUGGUAGUUUAUGAGCUUAAUUAUUAGUCAACUGUAGUAAUUUUAGAUCGUCUUCUUGCAUGCAGAGACUUUGAUUAGUACAAUUAGAAAAUGUAACUCAAUGAGUUAAGCCAGUAAGAUAUACUUUUAGUUAAGAAUAGGAGUAUAUAUGCUCAUUUUUAAUUAUUAAUAAUCGUUAUAAACUCUCAAUUUUUACAAGCAGUAAAGAUGGGUACAAAAUCUGCUAGAUUGAACAAAAUGGGCACAAGUUGAUUUUGUGGCCCUCGCAAAAUCGAGUACCCAAAGUCAAAUCUGCAUAGAAGACAGACACCCAUUUUAGCCAAACUAAACACCUAAAAGUUCCGCUUCUACCGGUGCUUUUACAGUUAUAACCUUCCCAGUACACUGUAAGUAUCUGUUUUACAGAAUAAAGCCUGCCCCACUUUUUUUUAUUUGAUUUUUUAGUAUGAUAUUAGCUGAAGAUGCAUUUUUCUCCAAUCAAGAGGCAUGUCGAUCACGAUAAUGAGACAUGAUAAAUUUUAUAUUUUAUAUUUUAAUUAUUCUAAUUUAAUUUAAUUAUGAUUAAAAAUAUUUUUAGGAAAGAGAAAAAUAUGUAUUUUGUUAA